rnacentral:rRNA from 1 species
GACGAACGCUGGCGGCGUGCUUAACACAUGCAAGUCGAACGGAAAGGCCCUGCUUUUGCGGGGUGCUCGAGUGGCGAACGGGUGAGUAACACGUGAGUAACCUGCCCUUAACUUUGGGAUAACUUCAGGAAACUGGGGCUAAUACCGGAUAGGAUCUCCUGCUGCAUGGUGGGGGUUGGAGAGAUUCGGCGGUUGGGGCUGGACUCGCGGCUUAUCAGCUUGUUGGUGGGGUAGUGGCUUACCAAGGCUUUGACGGCUAGCCGGCCUGAGAGGGUGGCCGGCGACAUUGGGACUGAGAUACGGCCCAGACUCCUACGGGAGGCAGCAGUGGGGAAUAUUGCACAAUGGGCGGAAGCCUGAUGCAGCAACGCCGCGUGCGGGAUGACGGCCUUCGGGUUGUAAACCGCUUUCGCCUGUGACGAAGCGUGAGUGACGGUAAUGGGUAAAGAAGCACCGGCUAACUACGUG